rnacentral:rRNA from 1 species
AGCGAACGCUGGCGGCAGGCUUAACACAUGCAAGUCGAACGGGCGUAGCAAUACGUCAGUGGCAGACGGGUGAGUAACGCGUGGGAACGUGCCUUUUGGUUCGGAACAACUGAGGGAAACUUCAGCUAAUACCGGAUAAGCCCUUACGGGGAAAGAUUAUCGCCAAAGAUCGGCCCGCGUCUGAUUAGCUAGUUGGUGAGGUAAUGGCUCACCAAGGCGACGAUCAGUAGCGGGUCUGAGAGGAUGAUCAGCCACACUGGGACUGAGACACGGCCCAGACUCCUACGGGAGGCAGCAGUGGGGAAUAUUGGACAAUGGGCGGCAAGCCUGAUCCAGCCAUGCCGCGUGAGUGAUGAAGGCCUUAGGGUCGUAAAGCUCUUUUGUGCGGGAAGAUAAUGACGGUACCGCAAGAAUAAGCCCCGGCUAACUUCGUGCCAGCCGCCGCAGUAAC